UAUAUGUUGGUGUAAGAUGCACAAAAGUUUUUGAUACUUUUGGGAAUAGUUUAAUUCUAUUAUAUAUAA
rnacentral:tRNA from 3 species